rnacentral:misc_RNA from 1 species
GUUCGACCUUCACGUGCAUCAAAAUUGACUUGGGAUAGUAGGCGUAGUUCAGAACUAAAAGCUUCUGACAAUACUCAAGUAGACAGCCCAUCUGAAGUUACAGAAAGUUUGGAUGGGAUAGAUGAUAGAAGGAAAAGAAUGCGUAUUGAUGAUAAUGCAAAUACUAACUUGAGAAAUGGAGAGUGCUUGGCUGCUGCUCAUUCCCACACUGAGGAAGUUCACGAA